UGAAUGGGUGUGUGAGUGUGUAUGUGAUUGUGCCCUGCGAUGGACUGGCACCCUGUCCAGGGUGUACCCCGCCUUGUGCCCGAUGCUCCCUGGGAUAGACUCCAGGUUCCCCGUGACCCUGAAGAAGGAGUAAGCGGUAGAAGAUGGAUGGAUGGAUGAAAAAAAAAAAGAAAGAUAGUUAGUAAUUACCGUCUACCUUUCCUCAAUCCACCUCCAGGGUGCGUACAUCACUGAUACAAUAUAUAUUUUACAGAAAUAUAUUUCUGUAAAGCUGCUUUGAGACAAUGACCAUUGGAAAAAGCGCUGUACAAAUAAAAUUGAAUUGAAAAUAACAUGUUAUUGGUGUUACUAGAAAAAUCUGCAGUUCCUGUACAACCAGGGUCUGAUGUCAUCCCCUGAACAUGGGUUACAACGGCACCUGGACCUGCUGGAGCAAUACUGUGGGCCUGCUGAAAAUCGAGACAAGACCAACAUUUUCAUCUUCCAAAAGAAAGCCAGAUCUCAGAAAAGCAAACACCAUUUUACUGCAAGAAACAACGCCCUAGAGCAUUAAUUACACUAUGAUUACCUAGGACUGAAAAUCAGUACCACAAGGAUCUGGGAUCGGAAUACACUAAGAAAAAAAUACAUCAUAUGCAGACUACACUAGAUGAGACCAGCAUCACACAGAGUAUGUGCAUGCAAAAUUGUUAGUAAUGUACGAAAUUUUUAAAGGUAAAUGUUAACAAAUUUGUGAGGGACGAUAGAGCGCGUCCAGACCAGCUGUCUCACUGUGUGGUAUGGGAUCUGCACAGACUUUGACCACAAGACCCAACAGCGAGGGUCUCUAGUGCUGCAUCGGGGGCUCUCUACCCAUCAUCGAGACCUCCUUCAAAAACCACUGCAUCUGCAAAGCCACCACUAUUGCGGACGACCCCUCUCACCCGUCUCAUGGACUCUUCACACUGGCAGAAGGUACAGGAGCAUCCCUGCCUCCACCAGCAGACUCUGCAACAGUUUCUUCCCUGAGGCAGUCAGAUUACUCAACACCCAACACUCACCUGGGCUAGUUGAACACCUAAACCAGUUUGGCGUUGUCCUGCUCUGGAUGGAAGCAUAUGUUGCUCCAAAAUGUGUACAUAUCUUUCUGCAUUAUCGGUGCCCUCACAGAUGUGCAAUUUACCCAUGCCAUGGGCACUGAUACGCCCCCAUGCCAUGACAGAUGCUGGAUUUUGGACUUGAUGCUGAUAACAGCUUGGAUGGUCCUUUUUCCUCCUUGGCCCGGAGAACACGACGGUUGUUUUGUCCAAAAACUAUUAGAAAUGUCGACUCGUCUGACCGCAAAACACGAUUUUCUCUCCACUCUUCCUCCAGACUCUGGGACCUUGAUUUCCAAAUGAAAUGCAAAAUUUACUUUCAUCUUCCCCGUGAUUGUGACUCUGUACUGAACCAGACUGAGAGAUUAAAGCCUCAGAUAACCUUUGCAGGUGUUCUGAGUUAAUUAGCUGAUCAGCUCUCUUCUCAGGCUGACAUUUCUGUAUUAUAAAUUCUUUAUUCGAAUAUUCUGAGAUACUGGAUUUUUGAUUUCCAUG
ensembl:lncRNA